AUUGAACGCUGGCGGCAUGCCUUACACAUGCAAGUCGAACGGCAGCACGGGUGCUUGCACCUGGUGGCGAGUGGCGAACGGGUGAGUAAUACAUCGGAACAUGUCCUGUAGUGGGGGAUAGCCCGGCGAAAGCCGGAUUAAUACCGCAUACGAUCUACGGAUGAAAGCGGGGGACCUUCGGGCCUCGCGCUAUAGGGUUGGCCGAUGGCUGAUUAGCUAGUUGGUGGGGUAAAGGCCUACCAAGGCGACGAUCAGUAGCUGGUCCGAGAGGACGACCAGCCACACUGGGACUGAGACACGGCCCAGACUCCUACGGGAGGCAGCAGUGGGGAAUUUUGGACAAUGGGCGAAAGCCUGAUCCAGCAAUGCCGCGUGUGUGAAGAAGGCCUUCGGGUUGUAAAGCACUUUUGUCCGGAAAGAAAUCCUUGGCUCUAAUACAGUCGGGGGAUGACGGUACCGGAAGAAUAAGCACCGGCUAACUACGUG
rnacentral:rRNA from 1 species